rnacentral:rRNA from 1 species
UACGGAAGGUGCAAGCGUUGUUCGGAAUUAUUGGGCGUAAAGAGUACGUAGGCGGAUUUGUAUGUCGAUUGUGAAAUCCCAGGGCUUAACCUUGGAAUUGCAGUCGAAACUGCGGAUCUUGAAUACCUGAGAGGGUGGGAGAAUUCCUGGUGGAGAAAUGAAAUUCGUAGAGAUCAGGAGGAAUACCGGAGGCGAAGGCGCCUGCCUGGCAGUGUAUUGACGCUGAGGUACGGAAAGCGUGGGGAGCAAACAGG